rnacentral:rRNA from 1 species
CAGUCGCCGCGGUAAUACGUAGGUGGCAAGCGUUGUCCGGAAUUAUUGGGCGUAAAGCGCGCGCAGGCGGAUAGGUCAGUCUGUCUUAAAAGUCCGGGGCUUAACCCCGUGAUGGGAUGGAAACUGCCAAUCUAGAGUAUCGGAGAGGAAAGUGGAAUUCCUAGUGUAGCGGUGAAAUGCGUAGAUAUUAGGAAGAACACCAGUGGCGAAGGCGACUUUCUGGACGAAAACUGACGCCGAGGCGCGAAAGCCAGGGGAGCGAACGGGAUUAGAUACCCCUGUAGUCCCUGUCUCUUAUACA